rnacentral:rRNA from 1 species
GAGUUUGAUCUUGGCUCAGAUUGAACGCUGGCGGCAGGCCUAACACAUGCAAGUCGAGCGGAUGAAGGGAGCUUGCUCCUGGAUUCAGCGGCGGACGGGUGAGUAAUGCCUAGGAAUCUGCCUGGGUAGUGGGGAUAACGUCCGGAAACGGGCGCUAAUACCGCAUACGUCCUGAGGGAGGAAAGUAGGGGGAGUCUUCGGACCUCACGCUAUCAGAUGAGCCUAGGUCGGGA